rnacentral:lncRNA from 1 species
CGCUUAGCAUACAUUUUUCACAUUUGACUACGAACAUUUAAGAAUUAUUAAGACUCUAGCUUAAUUUGUAUGCAGCAUUUAUCAGGAAAAGUAAAUUAUUACCAUUGUUGAUGUACGUUUAUGUUAACGUGUAUGCUUGCAUGCUAUAAUGUUCGAUUUAAAAAAAUGAACCUUCAUUCUAAGGUAUAACAACGUUCAAAUUGUGUAAAAUAGAUAUUGCUUUGUUUCCUACAGUUCAUUUGACAUUUUGUAUUUUUGAAUACCAACUUAAGCAGGACGCACUUAACAGCUUUUGUAUUCUUCCUUAGAGUUUGACACUAUGUGUUGCUACUGUACUUAUAUUGAUUGGGAUAUUAAAAGGGGAAAACAAUUUCUUUAUCUAACAGCUAGACCGUGUAUUGCAUUGCAGUUUAAAUAACAAAUACUUCUCUAAUCAAACGUGCACUGGUUACUUACGAUCUGAAAAAAAAGAGAAUUGUUACAUUAGGGUUUUUUUCACCAUCGUUGAGGACUUAUAAUUUUGUGUGUUGCCAUGUCAUGAAUUGCAAAAUGGGUAUUUACUUUUUGACAUUAAAGUAUAUAGAACAAUUGAUCAGAAUGAAAUCUUCUUAUGAAAAAGUUAUGCUUGUUUGCCAUAAAAAAUCCGACAAUUUUUUAAUGCACUUCAGACAAUUUAUAUAUGCAAUAAAAUAAAUAUGAUGUUUUGAUGAAGCAAUUAUUUGUCUUGGCUUGAAUUGUCGGCUUGAACAGUAACAGUUGUGUCAUGUAAAGAAAAAACAUUAUCAACCAAUGACGUUAAACAUUAAAGUUUUUGGUCUUUUGUAUGCUUGGCAGAGACGUUUGAGACGCUUCAAAUAUUGUGUCAAAUUUCAGUUCGUUUUGCUCGUGGGCAACGACCGAGGAGUCAAUGUGAAGGCUUGCGAUCUUUAUAGAGGAAUGAAUUUCUGUAUUUACCCGUAUACAAUGUACAGCCUUGCAGCUUGAUUAUAACGUUAUGGCCUUGUACAGUUUAUCGGAAUUACAUUUUCUUUU